UACUCGGAAUUACUGGGCGUAAAGCGUGCGUAGGUGGUGGCUUAAGUCCGUUGUGAAAGCCCUGGGCUCAACCUGGGAAUUGCAGUGGAUGCUGGGUCACUAGAGUGUGGUAGAGGGUGGCGGAAUUCCCGGUGUAGCAGUGAAAUGCGUAGAGAUCGGGAGGAACACCCGUGGCGAAGGCGGCCACCUGGGCCAACACUGACACUGAGGCACGAAAGCGUGGGGAGCAAACAGGAUUAGAUACCCUGGUAGUCCACGCCCUAAACGAUGCGAACUGGAUGUUGGGUUCAACUUGGAACCCAGUAUCGAAGCUAACGCGUUAAGUUCGCCGCCUGGGGAGU
rnacentral:rRNA from 1 species